GGAUUUUGUGAUCAUGACCUGUUUGC
rnacentral:piRNA from 1 species